UUAUUGGAGAGUUUGAUCCUGGCUCAGGACGAACGCUGGCGGCAUGCCUAAUACAUGCAAGUCGAGCGGAGUGGAUA
rnacentral:rRNA from 1 species